GAUGAACGCUGACAGAAUGCUUAACACAUGCAAGUCGAUUCGAUUUACCUUCGGGUAUUGAGGAUGGCGGACGGGUGAGUAACGCGUAAGGAACUUGCCUCUUGGUCUGGGACAACUGUUGGAAACGACAGCUAAUACCGGAUAUUAUGAGAUUCUCGCAUGGGAAACUUAUGAAAGCUAUAUGCGCCAAGAGAGAGCCUUGCGUUCCAUUAGCUAGUUGGUGGGGUAACGGCCCACCAAGGCGACGAUGGAUAGCCGGCCUGAGAGGGUGAACGGCCACAAGGGGACUGAGACACGGCCCUUACUCCUACGGGAGGCAGCAGUGGGGAAUAUUGGACAAUGGGCCACAAGCCUGAUCCAGCAAUUCUGUGUGCACGAUGAAGGUCUUCGGAUUGUAAAGUGCUUUCAGUUGGGAAGAAGAAAGUGACGGUACCAACAGAAGAAGCGACGGCUAAAUACGUGCCAGCAGCCGCGGUAAUACGUAUGUCGCAAGCGUUAUCCGGAUUUAUUGGGCGUAAAGCGCGUCUAGGCGGAAAAAUAAGUCUGAUGUUAAAAUGCGGGGCUCAACUCCGUAUUGCGUUGGAAACUGUUUUUCUAGAGUACUGGAGAGGUGGGCGGAACUACAAGUGUAGAGGUGAAAUUCGUAGAUAUUUGUAGGAAUGCCGAUGGAGAAGUCAGCUCACUGGACAGAUACUGACGCUAAAGCGCGAAAGCGUGGGGAGCAAACAGGAUUAGAUACCCUGGUAGUCCACGCCGUAAACNA
rnacentral:rRNA from 1 species